AUUGAACGCUGGCGGCAGGCCUAACACAUGCAAGUCGAACGAGUGGCGGACGGGUGAGUAAUGUCUGGGCAACUGCCUGAUGGAGGGGGAUAACUACUGGAAACGGUAGCUACUACCGCAUACCAUCAGAUGUGCCCAGAGGGGAUUAGCUAGUUGGUGGGGUAACGGCUCACCAAGGCGACGAUGCCUAGCUGGUCUGAGAGGAUGACCAGCCACACUGGAACUGAGACACGGUCCAGACUCCUACGGGAGGCAGCAGUGGGGAAUAUUGCACAAGGGGCGCAAGCCUGAUGCAGCCAUGCCGCGUGUAUGAAGAAGGCCUUCGGGUUGUAAAGUACUGUCAGCGGGGAGGCGUUAUCCGAAGAAGAAGCACCGGCUAACUCCGUGCCAGCAGCCGCGGUAAUUC
rnacentral:rRNA from 1 species